AUUGAACGCUGGCGGCAUGCCUUACACAUGCAAGUCGAACGGCAGCACGGGUGCUUGCACCUGGUGGCGAGUGGCGAACGGGUGAGUAAUAUAUCGGGAACGUACCUUAUCGUGGGGGAUAACGCAGCGAAAGCUGCGCUAAUACCGCAUACGCCCUGAGGGGGAAAGCGGGGGACCGUAAGGCCUCGCGCGAUUAGAGCGGCCGAUAUCUGAUUAGCUUGUUGGUGGGGUAAAAGCCCACCAAGGCGACGAUCAGUAGCUGGUCUGAGAGGACGAUCAGCCACACUGGGACUGAGACACGGCCCAGACUCCUACGGGAGGCAGCAGUGGGGAAUUUUGGACAAUGGGGGCAACCCUGAUCCAGCAAUGCCGCGUGAGUGAAGAAGGCCUUCGGGUUGUAAAGCUCUUUUGUCAGGGAAGAAACAGCAGCUCUAACACAGUCUGCGAAUGACGGUACCUGAAGAAUAAGCACCGGCUAACUACGUG
rnacentral:rRNA from 1 species